ACAAAGGUUCGUAACCAAGGAAACCCCAACAGAAAGUGAAUACUUCUACAUAAUUAAGUAUUGCGUUAUAUGAACUAUCAGUUGGAAAAUAAGGUUCCUCUUGAAGAUGACUCGGCUCGAGGGGGAGGUGGAUAAUUCCACUGAUAAAAUUUGCAAAAAGGUUCAGAAAGAAUCUUGUUAAGAGAUAAUGAAAUAGUUCUGGGAUAUCUCGAGUAUUAUCAGCGCGAUUUGGCUAUAACAUCGGUGAAGAAUUCGGAAUGGUAUUUUUGAGAAUCCUUACCUGGCAAUAGCGUGAUUCCAGUGGGGAUCAGUUCACGUGCUUCAUUCUGUGCAUGAGCUGGUGUCUGCGCUGAAAUCUCCACACCGUUCUGCACAUGCUCCGAUGUCAGCUGCUAACAGAGCAGCUUUCUGUGAGAGAUACUGUGCAGAAAGCAGCUUUCUUACAUUAUUUGAAUGUAUUAUGUUAAAUUUACUUUUGUUUCAUUAAUAAGUAUGAUUUUACCCUUCAUUCAGGGUGUGUUAAGCUUUUGCGUGAUCUUUGAGCUAUCAUGAGUGAUAUUUGUUGCUGGUCUGUCCCUAACUCCAUUAUUCCCAUAGGCCCCAUUAUUUCUAUUAAGUGAUUGUCUAUUAAGUGAGGUUUCUCUGAAAUGCAACUAGUGUCAUAGGUGAACUACCGCCAUUGUUAUGGAUCAGGGCAGACCCCUCAAAACAAUUCAAGAAUGUAGCCCAGACCCUAACUUUGCUAGUUGUUUUAAGCAGGUGUAAAGUGAAUAUUCCAAGAGAAAUGUUGUUGGUCAAAACACUUAGUUUUAAACAAAAUUUAUUUACAAGAUUACUGAAUAAAACACAAAUAAUAGCAAACAGAAUAUUGAAUAACUUAAUCUCCCCGAAAACCCAACUGAUCAUCCCAACUUAAUGAUGCUGUUCCAAAUACUUGCAACAAUCCCCAUAAACACACCUUGACACAAAGUGUGAAA